rnacentral:rRNA from 1 species
CCUACGGGAGGCUGCAGUGAGGAAUAUUGGUCAAUGGACGAGAGUCUGAACCAGCCAAGUAGCGUGAAGGAUGACUGCCCUAUGGGUUGUAAACUUCUUUUAUAAAGGAAUAAAACGCGGCACGUGUGCCCUUUUGCAUGUACUUUAUGAAUAAGGAUCGGCUAACUCCGUGCCAGCAGCCGCGGUAAUACGGAGGAUCCGAGCGUUAUCCGGAUUUAUUGGGUUUAAAGGGAGCGUAGAUGGGUUGUUAAGUCAGUUGUGAAAGUUUGCGGCUCAACCGUAAAAUUGCAAUUGAUACUGGCAGUCUUGAGUACAGUUGAGGUAGGCGGAAUUCGUGGUGUAGCGGUGAAAUGCUUAGAUAUCACGAAGAACCCCGAUUGCGAAGGCAGCUUACUAAACUGUGACUGACAUUGAUGCUCGAAAGUGUGGGUAUCAAACAGGAUUAGAUACCCCUGUAGUC